AGCAGGCAGACAUCAACCAUCUGCCACCGAAUACAUUAGCAUGGGAUAAUGGAAUAGGACCCUGUCCUCCUAUUUUCAGUUGGUUUUCGAGGACCAGGGUAAUGAUUAAUAGGGAUAGUUGGGGGCAUUAAUAUUUAAUUGUCAGAGGUGAAAUUCUUGGAUUUAUGAAAGAUUAACUUCUGCGAAAGCAUCUGCCAAGGAUGUUUUCAUUAAUCAAGAACGAAAGUUAGGGGAUCGAAGACGAUCAGAUACCGUCGUAGUCUUAACCAUAAACGAUGCCGACCAGCGAUUAGGAGACGUUGAAUACAAAACACCACCAUCGGGCGGGUCGUCCCUGGCCGGUGUCGUCCGUCGCGGCAACGCGGCGGGCGGCCGGUGGGGGCGGUCCGUUUCCCCGAUGGCCCGGUGAAUG
rnacentral:rRNA from 1 species